rnacentral:tRNA from 1 species
GCCUGAAUGGCUCAGUCAGUUAAGCGUCUGACUCAUGACUUCAGAACAGAUCAUCAUCUCAUGGUUCAUGGGUUCGAGUCCCGUGUCGGGCU